rnacentral:rRNA from 1 species
GUGCCAAGCAGCCGCGGUAAAACCAGCACCUCAAGUGGUCAGGAUGAUUAUUGGGCCUAAAGCAUCCGUAGCCGGCUCUGUAAGUUUUCGGUUAAAUCUGUACGCUCAACGUACAGGCUGCCGGGAAUACUGCAUAGCUAGGGAGUGGGAGAAGUAGACGGUACUCGGUAGGAAGUGGUAAAAUGCUUUGAUCUAUCGAUGACCACCUGUGGCGAAGGCGGUCUACUAGAACACGUCCGACGGUGAGGGAUGAAAGCUGGGGGAGCAAACCGGAUUAGAUACCCGGGUAGUCCCAGCUGUAAACUAUGCAAACUCAGUGAUGCAUUGGCUUGUGGCCAAUGCAGUGCUGCAGGGAAGCCGUUAAGUUUGCCGCCUGGGAAGUACGUACGCAAGUAUGAAACUUAAAGGAAUUGGCGGGGGAGCACCACAAGGGGUGAAGCCUGCGGUUCAAUUGGAGUCAACGCCAGAAAUCUUACCCGGAGAGACAGCAGAAUGAAGGUCAAGCUGAAGACUUUACCAGACAAGCUGAGAGGUGGUGCAUGGCCGUCGCCAGCUCGUGCCGUGAGAUGUCCUGUUAAGUCAGGUAACGAGCGAGAUCCCUGCCUCUAGUUGCCACCAUUACUCUCAGGAGUAGUGGGGCGAAUUAGCGGGACCGCCGCAGUUAAUGCGGAGGAAGGAAGGGGCCACGGCAGGUCUGUGAUGCCC